AGCAUGGAGUUGGGGCUGAGCUGCAUUUUCCUUGUUGCUCUUUUAAAAGGUGUUCAGUGUGAAGUGAAGCUGGUAGAGUCUGGGGGUGGCCUGGUGAAGACUGGGGGGUCUCUGAAACUCUCCUGUGUAGCCUCUGGAUUCACCUUCAGUGGCUACUGGAUGGACUGGGUCCGCCAGGCUCCAGGCAAGGGGCUGGAGUGGGUUGGAAAUAUUAAAUAUGAUGGCAGUACCACAAACUAUGCACCAUCCGUGAAGGGCCGGUUCACCAUCUCCAGAGACAAUGCCAAGAACACUCUGUACCUGCAAAUGAACAGUGUGAAGUCUGAGGACACCACCACUUAUUACUGUGCUAGACACAGACAAUGCCAAGAACACUCUGUACCUGCAAAUGAACAGUGUGAAGUCUGA